UACGUAGGGGGCAAGCGUUGUCCGGAAUCAUUGGGCGUAAAGCGCGCGUAGGUGGCCCGGUAAGUCCGCUCUGAAAGUCAAAGGCUCAACCUUUGAAAGCGGGUGGAUACUGUCGGGCUAGAGUCCGGAAGAGGCGAGUGGAACUCCUGGUGUAGCGGUGGAAUGCGCAGAUAUCAGGAAGAACACCAACGGCGAAGGCAGCUCGCUAGGACGGUACUGACGCUGAGACGCGAAAGCGUGGGGAGCGAACAGG
rnacentral:rRNA from 1 species